rnacentral:lncRNA from 1 species
GAGGAGGGGGAAUUGAGGGGAGAAGAAGAAGAACAACGGUAGGGCCAUGAAAUUGCGAAGAGGAGAGGAGAGGAGUAGGGCAGCGGAGGACCAUGGUAGGGUGAUGGAAGUCUCUCUUUUGGUAUAUAGAAAAAUUAAGUAUAAUUUGUGUGUUGGGUGAUUGGUGAUUCAAGGGCUAUCUCAAGGUAGCACCUAAAAUCAAAAAAAAAUGAUAAGUAGAGCUAAGACUAACUCGGGUUAGCAUCUAGACUAUUUCAAGACAAAGUUUGAGCAAAGUGCUUCAGGUUUUUUCAUUGAUCCAAAAAUAUCCAUACAAAAUAUAAGAGGCAAAUAUUUAAAGGACCUCCUAAAGAUCUCAACAACUUUCUAGAUUAAUGGGCAAUUCAAAUUUUACUUUCAAAUUCCCUAAAUUAAAGAAAAGUAAUCCUCCUUAAAUCAAGGAGUACAUCAAAAUCAAACUUUCUAAAAUAAAAGACUCCAUAAGCAAGUAAACUGCCCAAACCAAUUCCCACGCCCACAAUCAAGAAAUUUCCUUCUAAAAUCCUACUCUUAGAAAAUAGGAAUGCGCGUCCUUAGUCUCUCCUUCUUCCAAACACUUUCCUUCAUUUCGGCCACGAAGAAUUGCACCCAGCUCCCAUCCAGAAAAAACCAAAAUUUUUGGAUCUAAGCCCAGCCUGUUGACAAAAUAAUUUAGGACGGGCUCGCUUAGGGGCAUGGCUUGGACGUUUCCAACCUUUAUUAUUACCCAAGAAGUUCUUUAUUCUUCACCUCCAGGAGUCUAGGGGUUGUUGCAUCCCAUUUUUGGAAAGUUAUGCUGGAAUGUUUUAAUAGCUUCCUAUGCAGCUUGCAAAUUAAAUUAGGGAAUGGUGUUCCCUAGCUCCCCUCCAGCACUACAAUUGCCACCAACUUCCCUUCUUUGCCUUUGCUUGGGAUUCUCCUCUCAAAGGAUCAAAGCAAAAUCAGGGACCCAAAUAUCUCCUCUCAAGCCAUCUAGUCAACAUGCCAUUGGAUCAUUCUAUCGAGAAUGAGCACUCAAACCUGCACUACUAUAUGUUGGACUCUAUCAACAU